AGCGAACGCUAGCGGCGGGCCUAACACAUGCAAGUCGAGCGCAUACCUUCGGGUAUGAGCGGCGGACGGGUGAGUAACGCGUAGGUCAUCUACCCUUUGGUGGGGGAUAACCCAGGGAAACUUGGGCUAAUACCGCACGAGGUCUACGGAUCAAAGCCUUCGGGCGCCAGAGGAUGAGCCUGCGUCGCAUUACCUAGUUGGCGGGGUAACGGCCCACCAAGGGGGACGAUGCGUAGCUGGUCUGAGAGGAUGAUCAGCCACACUGGGGCUGAGACACGGCCCAGACUCCUACGGGAGGCAGCAGUGGGGAAUUUUGGACAAUGGGGGCAACCCUGAUCCAGCCAUGCCGCGUGAGUGAAGAAGGCCUUCGGGUUGUAAGCGUCUUUUGGUCGGGUAGAAAGUGCCUGCUUAAUACGCGGGGU
rnacentral:rRNA from 1 species